AAUCUGCAGCCUUGGAAUUGCCCUUAGUUGCUCUUGUACUCUGGGCAUAUUGGCUUUGCAGAAAGAGUAUCUGAGGAAGCCGAGGCAGGACUGUAAAAAGUAGCAUCCGCUCCAUGUGCAAUGUUCCUCUGACAUAUGCAGUACUGUUGCCACGGAGAUAAUGAUUGUCCUAGUGUCAUUAUCCAUCUAUCAACAGUAAGAGUGAAUUUGCUGUAUGAUAUUGUUCAGCAAAUGGAGCAUUUCUGCUGAACACUAAAAACUGCUACAUAU